rnacentral:rRNA from 1 species
CCGGCAUACUGCUCAGUAACACGUGGAUAACCUGCCCUAUCGUCUGGAAUAACCUCGGGAAACUGAGAAUAAGGCCGGAUAGUUCACAAUGCCUGGAACGGUUUGUGAAUCAAGGUAGGAUGGGUCUGCGGCGUAUCAGGUUGUAGGGGGUGUAAAGGACCCCCUAGCCUUCGACGCGUACGGGUGUUGGGAGACAUAGCCCGGAGAUGGAUUCUGAGACACGAAUCCAGACCCUACGGGGUGCAGCAGGCGCGAAAACUUCACACUGCAGGAAACUGUGAUGAGGGAACUCCUAGUGCAUGCACUAUGUGUAUGUAGAUCCUACUCUUAACAAGUAGAGGGAAAGGGCUGGGAAAGACCGGUGCCAGCCGCCGCGGUAAUACCGGCAGCUCAAGUGGUCGUCGCUUUUAUUGGGCCUAAAACGUCCGUAGCCUGUUUGGUGAAUCUGUGGGUAAAUCAAUCCGCUCAACGGAUUGAAUUCUGCAGAGACUGCCAGACUAGGGACCGGGAGAGGUGUGGGGUACUCGAGGGGUAGGGGUAAAAUCCUGUCAUCCUUCGAGGACCACCAGUUGCGAAGGCGCCACACUGGAACGGAUCCGACGGUCAGGGACGAAGCCUAGGGGCACGAACCGGAUUAGAUACCCGGGUAGUCCUAGGUGUAAACGCUGUGAACUUGGUGUCGGGGGUCCGCAAGGGGUCCCCGGUGCCGGAGUGAAGAUGUUAAGUUCACUGCCUGGGGAGUGCGGUCGCAAGGCUGAAACUUAAAGGAAUUGGCGGGGGAGCACUGCAACGGGAGGAGCGUGCGGUUUAAUU